CCAAACCAACAAGCUUGCUUGUUGGGGUUGUAGGACACUCUAUACGGAGUUACAAAGGACGACAUUAGACGAAUCAUCUGGAAAGAUGAAUCAAAGAAGGUAAUAAUCCUGUAGUCGAAAAUGUUGUCUCUCUUGAGUGGAUCCUGAGUACGACGGAGCACGUGAAAUUCCGUCGGAAUCUGGGAGGACCAUCUCCUAAGGCUAAAUACUCUCUAGUGACCGAUAGUGAACCAGUACCGUGAGGGAAAGGUGAAAAGCACCCCGGAAGGGGAGUGAAAUAGAACCUGAAACCGUGUGCUUACAAGUAGUCAGAGCCCGUUAAUGGGUGAUGGCGUGCCUUUUGUAGAAUGAACCGGCGAGUUACGAUUUGAUGCAAGGUUAAGCAGUAAAUGUGGAGCCGUAGCGAAAGCGAGUCUGAAUAGGGCGUUUAGUAUUUGGUCGUAGACCCGAAACCAGGUGAUCUACCCUUGGUCAGGUUGAAGUUCAGGUAACACUGAAUGGAGGACCGAACCGACUUACGUUGAAAAGUGAGCGGAUGAACUGAGGGUAGCGGAGAAAUUCCAAUCGAACCUGGAGAUAGCUGGUUCUCUCCGAAAUAGCUUUAGGGCUAGCCUCAAGUGAUGAUUAUUGGAGGUAGAGCACUGUUUGGACGAGGGGCCCCUCUCGGGUUACCGAAUUCAGACAAACUCCGAAUGCCAAUUAAUUUAACUUGGGAGUCAGAACAUGGGUGAUAAGGUCCGUGUUCGAAAGGGAAACAGCCCAGACCACCAGCUAAGGUCCCAAAAUAUAUGUUAAGUGGAAAAGGAUGUGGCGUUGCCCAGACAACUAGGAUGUUGGCUUAGAAGCAGCCAUCAUUUAAAGAGUGCGUAAUAGCUCACUAGUCGAGUGACACUGCGCCGAAAAUGUACCGGGGCUAAACAUAUUACCGAAGCUGUGGAUUGUCCUUUGGACAAUGGUAGGAGAGCGUUCUAAGGGCGUUGAAGCAUGAUCGUAAGGACAUGUGGAGCGCUUAGAAGUGAGAAUGCCGGUGUGAGUAGCGAAAGACGGGUGAGAAUCCCGUCCACCGAUUGACUAAGGUUUCCAGAGGAAGGCUCGUCCGCUCUGGGUUAGUCGGGUCCUAAGCUGAGGCCGACAGGCGUAGGCGAUGGAUAACAGGUUGAUAUUCCUGUACCACCUAUAAUCGUUUUAAUCGAUGGGGGGACGCAGUAGGAUAGGCGAAGCGUGCGAUUGGAUUGCACGUCUAAGCAGUAAGGCUGAGUAUUAGGCAAAUCCGGUACUCGUUAAGGCUGAGCUGUGAUGGGGAGAAGACAUUGUGUCUUCGAGUCGUUGAUUUCACACUGCCGAGAAAAGCCUCUAGAUAGAAAAUAGGUGCCCGUACCGCAAACCGACACAGGUAGUCAAGAUGAGAAUUCUAAGGUGAGCGAGCGAACUCUCGUUAAGGAACUCGGCAAAAUGACCCCGUAACUUCGGGAGAAGGGGUGCUCUUUAGGGUUAACGCCCAGAAGAGCCGCAGUGAAUAGGCCCAAGCGACUGUUUAUCAAAAACACAGGUCUCUGCUAAACCGUAAGGUGAUGUAUAGGGGCUGACGCCUGCCCGGUGCUGGAAGGUUAAGAGGAGUGGUUAGCUUCUGCGAAGCUACGAAUCGAAGCCCCAGUAAACGGCGGCCGUAACUAUAACGGUCCUAAGGUAGCGAAAUUCCUUGUCGGGUAAGUUCCGACCCGCACGAAAGGCGUAACGAUUUGGGCACUGUCUCAACGAGAGACUCGGUGAAAUCAUAGUACCUGUGAAGAUGCAGGUUACCCGCGACAGGACGGAAAGACCCCGUGGAGCUUUACUGUAGCCUGAUAUUGAAAUUCGGCACAGCUUGUACAGGAUAGGUAGGAGCCUUUGAAACGUGAGCGCUAGCUUACGUGGAGGCGCUGGUGGGAUACUACCCUAGCUGUGUUGGCUUUCUAACCCGCACCACUUAUCGUGGUGGGAGACAGUGUCAGGCGGGCAGUUUGACUGGGGCGGUCGCCUCCUAAAAGGUAACGGAGGCGCUCAAAGGUUCCCUCAGAAUGGUUGGAAAUCAUUCAUAGAGUGUAAAGGCAUAAGGGAGCUUGACUGCGAGACCUACAAGUCGAGCAGGGUCGAAAGACGGACUUAGUGAUCCGGUGGUUCCGCAUGGAAGGGCCAUCGCUCAACGGAUAAAAGCUACCCCGGGGAUAACAGGCUUAUCUCCCCCAAGAGUUCACAUCGACGGGGAGGUUUGGCACCUCGAUGUCGGCUCAUCGCAUCCUGGGGCUGUAGUCGGUCCCAAGGGUUGGGCUGUUCGCCCAUUAAAGCGGUACGCGAGCUGGGUUCAGAACGUCGUGAGACAGUUCGGUCCCUAUCCGUCGUGGGCGUAGGAAAUUUGAGAGGAGCUGUCCUUAGUACGAGAGGACCGGGAUGGACAUACCUCUGGUGUACCAGUUGUCGUGCCAACGGCAUAGCUGGGUAGCUAUGUGUGGACGGGAUAAGUGCUGAAAGCAUCUAAGCAUGAAGCCCCCCUCAAGAUGAGAUUUCCCAACUUCGGUUAUAAGAUCCCUCAAAGAUGAUGAGGUUAAUAGGUUCGAGGUGGAAGCAUGGUGACAUGUGGAG
rnacentral:rRNA from 1 species